GUCAAAAUUAUCUCCCCAUUACGCCAGCUUAUUUUACAAUCGUAAAAAUGGAUGUCAGUGUAGGAAUGACGCACUGCCAAUUUAGCUCUUGAAAACCGAUAAAUAUUCCGCAUAACAGCAUCUGGAAACUUUUUUUUUAUGCUAGUUGUAUUUUUGAAAGACAUACAUGUAUGUAUCUACUAGCUGUUGGACAUAAUGUAAUGUUAUAUUCUGCAUUCAUUCAACUUAUAACUAAUGUCUGCUCGGUUUUAAGGUGCAAUUUUUGACAUAUCAAACCUUUA
rnacentral:lncRNA from 1 species